UGACAUCUUGUCUGGUCCCAUGAUUUUGA
rnacentral:piRNA from 1 species